rnacentral:rRNA from 1 species
GAUCCUGGCUCAGGAUGAACGCUGGCGGCGUGCCUAACACAUGCAAGUCGAGCGAUCUUCUUCGGAAGAGAGCGGCGGACGGGUGAGUAACGCGUGGGUAACCUGCCUCAUACACAUGGAUAACAUACCGAAAGGUAUGCUAAUACAAGAUGAUAUAAGAGAUUCGCAUGGAUUCUUAUCAAAGCUCCGGCGGUAUGAGAUGGACCCGCGUCUGAUUAGCUAGUUGGUAAGGUAAUGGCUUACCAAGGCGACGAUCAGUAGCCGACCUGAGAGGGUGAUCGGCCACAUUGGAACUGAGACACGGUCCAAACUCCUACGGGAGGCAGCAGUGGGGAAUAUUGCACAAUGGGCGAAAGCCUGAUGCAGCAACGCCGCGUGAGCGAUGAAGGCCUUCGGGUCGUAAAGCUCUGUCCUCAAGGAAGAUAAUGACGGUACUUGAGGAGGAAGCCCCGGCUAACUACGUG